rnacentral:lncRNA from 7 species
AUUAACCAACAGGAGGAACCACAUGCGAGCCGUCGUAGAGUUGCAGGAUUUCUGCCGCGGUUGAACACCGAUUGUCCACCAGUCCCCACCAAGGAACCAAAUCCACUGCGCGGGAGCAUCGUCGGGCCAUGCUGGGUAUGAUUGGGAGCUCGCCUCGACUGAUUGGUGUCCUGCGCGAGGGAAUUUCUUGCCGGAGUCGAAGCUCCGCUGCGACUCCAUUCCCUUCCGCGGGUCGGCAACGUCGCAGCGCCGCAGCAAGUGUUAACUGCCUUGCUAGCGAGGUCACGUGUCACCUGAAGAGCAAGUUGGUACCUGGAAUCUCAAGUGCCACGCAAGUUGUGCCCUUGAUCACUUCUUUUACCCAAUCAUGUUCUAAUUAAUUAUAAUGAUCUGCAUAGGUUAAUUUUGAUGGGACCCAAUAGGUUACCCUAGUUUGAUUAUCUUUAUACCUUGUUUACCACUGAACUUUUUGGGUAGUACUUGCUAGUGCUUUAUGUGGUUUUGGGUAUGAAGAUACAUUAUUCAUGAUCACACUGUUAUUAUCUAUUUAUUAUUACUGUUCAUGAUAAGAUCAUUAUGUUAAUUGGAACAUGGAGCAACCACCCGGGAAAACAGUGCUACCACAAGGGUUUAUGGACGCCCUUGGCUGAUUAAUUAGGAAAGCUAGUGGAGAACUACCUUACCCGAAAGGGGCAAGGGCAGUAGGGGAGUGGUCAGUGUAGGGAGGUCCUUGGGAUGAUUUUGCUGCGAUGGCGGUCAUGCGAGGGAUCCCUGCAUUGGAGCUUCCUAUAAACUGUAGCGGGUUUUCUGAAGCUAGUGGAACUUUGUAAAGGCCUCGUAGUGUUACUCUGCCUCGCCUCCUCGGUAGAGGUGUAUGGGAAGUCACGAUCCCUUGGCAGAGGGGUAACAUGACUUGUGGGUAAAGAUGCGCAACCUCUGCAGAGUGUAAAACUGGUAUACUAGUCGUGCUCACGGUCAUGAGCAGCUCGGACCCUCACAUGAUUAAUUUAUGGAACUAAAUUCAAUAUGUCAUAUGCAUUGCAUCGCAGGUGAUGUUGUUACUUUGGUUCUAUUACUUAAUUGGGUUGGUAUUUACUUAUACUUAGUAAUUGCUAAUAAAAUUUUGACCAACUUUAAAAGCAAUGCUCAGCUCUAACCAUCCUCUUUGGUAAGCCUUACACUUCACAUGAACUCCCACCUUUGGCGAGUUCAUUCACAUUAUUCCCCACAACUUGUUGAGCGAUGAACGUAUGUGAGCUCACUCUUGCUGUCUCACACCCCCCCACAGGUCAAGAACAGGUACCGCAGGAUGAGGCGCAUGGAGGAUGUUGUGGCAAGUUCGUGAGAGAUCUAGGCCGUCGUCUCCCAGUCAACUUUGGGUUGCUAGACCGUUGUCGCUUUAUAAUGUAAUUAUUUAUUUAUUUUGUAUAGAACUCCUAUUGUAUAGUAAAGAUGUGACAUUCGAU